AUGAACGCUGGCGGCGUGCCUAAUACAUGCAAGUCGCGCGAACAGACGAGGAGCUUGCUCCUCUGACGUUAGCGGCGGACGGGUGAGUAACACGUGGAUAACCUACCUAUAAGACUGGGAUAACUUCGGGAAACCGGAGCUAAUACCGGAUAAUAUAUUGAACCGCAUGGUUCAAUAGUGAAAGACGGUUUUGCUGUCACUUAUAGAUGGAUCCGCGCCGCAUUAGCUAGUUGGUAAGGUAACGGCUUACCAAGGCAACGAUGCGUAGCCGACCUGAGAGGGUGAUCGGCCACACUGGAACUGAGACACGGUCCAGACUCCUACGGGAGGCAGCAGUAGGGAAUCUUCCGCUAUGGGCGAAAGCCUGACGGAGCAACGCCGCGUGAGUGAUGAAGGUCUUCGGAUCGUAAAACUCUGUUAUUAGGGAAGAACAAAUGUGUAAGUAACUAUGCACGUCUUGACGGUACCUAAUCAGAAAGCCACGGCUAACUACGUG
rnacentral:rRNA from 1 species